rnacentral:rRNA from 1 species
CACGUAGGGUGCGAGCGUUGUCCGGAAUUAUUGGGCGUAAAGAGCUCGUAGGCGGUGUGUCGCGUCGGCCGUGAAAACCUGUGGCUUAACUAUGGGCUUGCGGUCGAUACGGGCAUCACUGGAGUUCGGCAGGGGAGACUGGAAUUCCUGGUGUAGCGGUGAAAUGCGCAGAUAUCAGGAGGAACACCGGUGGGCGAAAGG